rnacentral:rRNA from 1 species
AGUGGGGGAUAACUCUGCGAAAGCGGAGCUAAUACCGCGUAAGACUACGGAAUCGCAUGAUUCAGUAGUAAAAGGCUUUCGAUUUUUCGGAGGUCGCUCAGGGAUGAGUCCGCGUCUGAUUAGCUAGUUGGUAGGGUAACGGCCUACCAAGGCAACGAUCAGUAGCCGGCCUGAAAGGGUGUUCGGCCACACUGGAAUUGAGAUACGGUCCAGACUCCUACGGGAGGCAGCAGUGGGGAAUCUUGCACAAUGGGGAAACCCUGACGCAGUGACGCCGCGUGAACGAUGAAGUCCUUCGGGAUGUAAAGUUCUGUCAGGCGGGAAGAACCCCCUCCGAUUGUAUCGGAGGGAUGACGGUACCGCCAGAGGAAGCACCGGCUAAUUCCGUGCCAGCAGCCGCGGUAAUACGGAGGGUGCAAGCGUUGUUCGGAAUUACUAGGCGUAAAGAGCGUGUAGGUGGUUAACUAAGUCGGAUGUGAAAAUUCCGAGCUCAACUCGGAACCUGCAUUCGAAACUGGUUAACUUGAGUGUAGGAGAGGAGAGCGGAAUUCCUAGCGUAGCGGUGAAAUGCGUAGAUAUUAGGAAGAACACCGGUGGCGAAGGCGGCUCUCUGGCCUAAAACUGACACUGAGACGCGAAAGCGUGGGAGCAAACAGGAUUAGAUACCCUGGUAGUCCACGCCGUAAACGAUGGGCAUUAGGUGUAGGAGGUAUCCAAUCCUUCUGUGCCGAAGUUAACACAUUAAAUGCCCCGCCUGGGGAGUACGACCGCAAGGUUGAAACUCAAAGGAAUUGACGGGGGCCCGCACGAGCGGUGGAGCAUGU